UAACAUUUUUUUUAUAGAACACAUGUUAUUUCUACAAAACUGGUGAUAAUCUAUUUUUUGAAAUUCUAUAACAUCAAUUUGUUUGGAAUCUUUUUAAUCAACUCCAUAUGGUGUCAAAUUUUUAAAACGAAUUUCAGUUAAUUUCAGCAAUUGUCAACAAUUUGAAUUAUUAACAAAUUAACAAUAAUGAAUUAAUAUUAAUUUUUCUUUUAAUUUAUUUUUUUUUCCUUUUUUAUCAAACAAUAUAUUUAAUUUUUGAAUUGUUUUUGUUGUUUAUGAUUGUAUUACAAGCUUCAAAUUUUGAAUGGUAACAUAAAUGAUGAAGUUUUUGUUUUGUUUUUUUUUAUUAUUAUAUUUUUUUUUAUCUUAAAAUAAAAAAUAAUGAAUUUUCUAUGUAUUACUUAUUAUUAACAAAUAAAACUAUUUUAAAUAUAUAUUACUACAUAUGUAUGUAUGUGUUAUGUUAUUUAUUAAAGAACUUACCCGUUUUAUCAGUGAAUCAGUUAAGUUUUUUUUUCUUUUGGGUUUUAUAUAAUUUUUAUUAUAAUUUUAAAAUAACAUAGAAAAUAAAACAAAUUAACAAAUUUAAUAAAUAUUUUUUUUAAUUGAAUAUCUCUUUUUGAAUAUAGAUUUCAAAACCUAAUUCGUUGUUCCUUAUGAGGAGAGGGGUAGAGGGUUAAUAAUAUAAUUGUUUAAUAAAUAGUUUUAAGUUCAUAAUUGUAUUUGUUUUUCUUUUUGUAAAUGGAAUAAAAGUUUUUUAUAUUAAUUA